CGAAGUAGCAAUACUUAGUGGCAGACGGGUGAGUAACAUGUAGGUAUCUUCCCUUUGGUGAGGAAUAACACGAGGAAACUUGUGCUAAUACCUCAUAAGUCUUUACGGAGAAAGCUUUAUGCGCCAGAGGAUGAGCCUGCACUUGAUUAGUUUGUUGGUGGGGUAAUGGCUUACCAAGACUUUGAUCAAUAGCUGAUCUGAGAGGAUGAUCAGCCACAUUGGGACUGAGACACGGCCCAAACUCCUACGGGAGGCAGCAGUAGGGAGUAUUGCACAAUGGAGGAAACUCUGAUGCAGCGAUGCCGCGUGAGUGAAGAAGGCCUUUGGGUUGUAAAGCUCUUUCGUCGGGGAAGAAAAUGACUGUACCCGAAUAAGAAGGUCCGGCUAACUUCGUGCCAGCAGCCGCGGUAAUACGAAGGGACCUAGCGUAGUUCGGAAUUACUGGGCUUAAAGAGUUCGUAGGUUGUUAAAAAAGUUGGUGGUGAAAUCCCAGAGCUCAACUCUGGAACUGCCAUCAAAACUUUUUAGCUAGAGUAUGAUAGAGGAAAGCAGAAUUUCUAGUGUAGAGGUGAAAUUCGUAGAUAUUAGAAAGAAUACCAAUUG
rnacentral:rRNA from 1 species